AGACAAGUUGACAAGAGCAUCGGGUGGAUGCCUUGGCGUCGGAAGGCGAUGAAAGACGUGGUAAGCUGCGAAAAGCCUCGGGGAGAAGCUAAACAUUCUGUGAUCCGGGGAUUUCUGAAUGGGGAAACCCGGCGGAGGUCAUGCUCCGUCGCGGGCACUUGAAUACAUAAAGUGUCCAGCGCCAACUCAGGGAAGUGAAACAUCUCAGUACCUGAAGGAAAAGAAAUCAAACGAGACUCCCAAAGUAGCGGCGAGCGAAAUGGGAUGAGCCCAAACCGGCUGGAUUCGUUCAGCCGGGGUUGUAGGGCCGGCAUAUGUGAUUCAUGAGUAGGCAGGGGAAAUGAGCUGGAAAGCUCUGCCAGAGCGGGUGACAGCCCCGUACCUGAAACCCAAAGCGACACAGCCGGUACCUGAGUACCGCGAGACACGUGGAACCUCGUGGGAAUCCGGGAGGACCAUCUUCCAAGGCUAAGUACUAACCGACGACCGAUAGUGUACCAGUACCGUGAGGGAAAGGUGAAAAGAACCUCUGUUAGAGGAGUGAAAUAGAAUCUGAAACCUGGUGCUUACAAGCUGUGAGAGCGGACUUGUUCCGUGAUCACGUGCCUUUUGCAUAAUGAGUCAGCGAGUUAAUCUGUACUGCAAGGUUAAGCGUGAGUGGAGCCGUAGGGAAACCGAGUCUGACAAGGGCGAUGAGUAGUGCGGAUUAGACCCGAAACCGGGUGAUCUAUCCAUGAGCAGGUUGAAGCAAGGGUAAAACCUUGUGGAGGACCGAACCAAUACCGGCUGAAAACGGUUUGGAUGACUUGUGGAUAGGGGUGAAAGGCCAAUCAAACCCGGUGAUAGCUGGUUCUCCCCGAAAUAUAUUGAGGUAUAGCCUCAUGGAUUGUCUACCGGAGGUAAAGCACUGACAGGGCUAGGGGUCCUACCAGAUUACCAAACCCUAUCAAACUCAGAAUGCCGGUCAGAUGUACCAUGGGAGUCAGACGGCGGGUGCUAAGGUCCGUCGUCGAGAGGGUAAGAGCCCAGAUCAACAGCUAAGGUCUCCAAAUCUAUGCUCAGUGGUUAAGGUGGUGACGUUGUAGAGACACCCAGGACGUUGGCUUAGAAGCAGCCAUCGUUUAAAGAAAGCGUAAUAGCUCACUGGUCUAAUGACGUUGCGCCGAAAAUGUAACGGGGCUAAGCAUAGUACCGAAGCUUUGAAUUCCGCGAAUGCGGUCUGGUAGGGGAGCGUUCUUCACGGGCUGAAGGUGUGUCGUAAGGCAUGCUGGACUGUGGAGAAGUGAUUAUGCUGACAUGAGUAACGAUAAAACGGGUGAAAAACCCGUUCGCCGUAAACCCAAGGUUUUCCGGGUAAAGGUAAUCUUCCCGGAGUUAGUCGGCCCCUAAGGCGAGGCUGAAAGGCGUAGCUGAUGGGAAACGUGUUAAUAUUCACGUACUUGUGUGUUCGCGCGAUGAAGGGACGCAGGAAGAUAGGCAAGCCGGGCGCUGGUUGUCCCGGUGCAAGCGUGUAGGGAUGAGAAGUUGGCAAAUCCGCUUCUCUCUAUCCUGAGACGCGAGUCCGUGACCGAAAGGUCUGAAGUUGUUGAGUCUAUGCUGCCUAGAAAAGCUUCUAAGUAUAGGACACGCAAACCGUACCGGAAACCAACUCAGGUGGGUGGGAUGAAUAAUCCAAGGCGCUCGAGAGAACUCUGGCCAAGGAACUCGGCAAAAUAACCCCGUACCUUCGGAAGAAGGGGUGCUUUUUAGGGUGAAGCGAUUCACUCUGUCGAGCCCUGAAAAGCCGCAGAGAAAUGGUGGUGGCGACUGUUUACUAAAAACAUAGGUCUGUGCCAAGUCGUAUAGACGACGUAUACGGACUGACGCCUGCCCGGUGCUGGAAGGUUAAAAGGAGGAGUCAGCGCAAGCGAAGCUCCGAAUUGAAGCCCCAGUAAACGGCGGCCGUAACUAUAACGGUCCUAAGGUAGCGAAAUUCCUUGUCGGGUAAGUUCCGACCUGCACGAAUGGCGUAACGAUCUCCACACUGUCUCGGCCAGAGACUCGGUGAAAUUGAAGUCGCGGUGAAAAUGCCGUGUACCCGCAGAAAGACGGAAAGACCCUGUGCACCUUUACUAUAGCUUGACAUUGGGAUUUGAGCCUGCAUGUGUAGCAUAGGUGGGA
rfam:Desulfovibrio piger ATCC 29098 Scfld11 genomic scaffold, whole genome shotgun sequence.